UGUUUUAAUAGAUUUUUACGUGUUCUGAAGAUGGAGAAGUUUUUUUAUGGGAAUAUGAAGAUGGCUUAAUAUUAAAGACAUACAACUUAAAUUUCCAAAAUCCAAUCAAAGCAUUUUAUAUUCCACAUAAAGAAUUUUCUUGGUAUGUGAUUGUGAAGAAAAACAAUGAAGAUUUUUAUAGGUUGUUUCAUGUUCCAGUUAAUGCUGGAAAUGUAAAACAAAAAAGAUUUCUUUUAAAACCUGUGCUUCCCAAACAGAACUGUGUCUCAUUUGGAUCUAAAGAAGAAUAUGUAGCUUCUGUAAAUGAUAAUAGUUUGAGAGUUCUGCAUAUCUCCAGUAAUUCUUUUAAAAGGUAAAUUUGAAAAAAAGUAAUAAUUUUAAG